GCUUAAUGUCACCGGGUGAUUAGCAGUGAGAGGAAAGUGGCGGAGGGGGAUGAGGUAGAUGCAUGAGGCAGGUUAAACGCCAACGUCAAGUCGAGUAAACCGCGGAUACGUGAAAUUCCAUGAGCGUCAUCGACGACCGGUUGAUUGGGGGAUUGGGGGGUGCUGCGAUGCUCUCAUCGAUGCCUCCUCAGCCUUCUCCUCGCUCCCCUUUCCAUAUAUAUAUGAUUGCUGCCGGCAAUUUAGCCAUGAGAAAAUUACAUCGAUGAUUGGAAAAAAUGAAAAUUCAUUAUACAGUGAUGAAUAAUAUGAGCAAGAAAUAUAAGUGAGAAAUUUUGAAUGAUGAUAGAAUGAAACGGGAGCAAGGACAUUAACUCUGAGAGAACUUUAUAUUCCCGACAAUUUCUCGUGUCGGCGGAAAAGAGAGAAAGCCCAACUGGAACGAACGAUAGUUAGAAGUGAAAAAGGCCGGGACUGGCUAAGAGAGACGUACGGAGGUGCACAUACAUAUGUACAAUGAGGCGAGCCAAAUGAGUGAAAUGAGUGUCCUGAAAGAGUAUGGGAGCAACUAAGUUGGGGAAAAAUAAUAUGGAGUUUGAAAAUGCUGAAGAUGCGAAUCCAUCUUUUUAUUACUCUUAUCAUUUUUUUUAAUGCAGAAAAUAUAAUCCGGAUUAUUCCUUUUUAAUUAAC